GACGAACGCUGGCGGCGUGCCUAAUACAUGCAAGUCGAGCGGAUGGAAGGAAGCUUGCUUCCUGAAGUCAGCGGCGGACGGGGGGGAAACACGUGGCCAACCGGCCCUAAGAAUCGGAAUACCUCCGGGAAACCGGAGUUAAAACCGGAAAUGUUUAUUUUCCACAUGACGGACGUUGGAAAGACGGUUUGGGCUGUCACUUAGGGAUGGGCCCGGGGCGGCUUGGCAAGUGGGUGAGGUAACGGCUCACCAUGGCGACGAGGCGUAGCCGACCUGAGAGGGUGAUCGGCCACACUGGGACUGAGACACGGCCCAGACUCCGACGGGAGGCAGCAGUAGGGAAUCUUCCGCAAUGGACGAAAGUCUGACGGAGCAACGCCGCGUGAGUGAAGAAGGUUUUCGGAUCGUAAAACUCUGUUGUUAGGGAAGAACAAGUACCAUAGUAACUGAUGGUACCUUGACGGUACCUAACCAGAAAGCCACGGCUAACUACGUGCCAGCCGCCGCCGUAAAAC
rnacentral:rRNA from 1 species